AGGCGGUAUAGCCAAGUGGUAAGGCAGAGGAUUGCAAAUUCUUUAUCCCCAGUUCAAAUCUGGGUGCCGCCUA
rnacentral:tRNA from 1 species